GCUCCGGUGGCCUAGUUGUUAGAGCGUCCGCCUCAGAUGCGAGAGGUCGCGGGUUAGAACCCCGGCUGAGUCA